CAGGCUGCACUCAUGCCCUCAGUUCACACCAGUCCUUGGAGCGCCUACGCUGGUGACUGGGGCUGAGGGAUGGUGGAUGGAGGGCAUGCUGGGUCAGAAAGAAUCGUGGGGGGGCUUCAUCCAGCCUGUCCUUUCUCUUCCCCCAUCCUUUCUCUUCCCCCUGUCCUUUCUCUUCCCCCUGGGUCCCUGCUGCCCCUGGGCUCCUUCCCAGCCUGUGCCUCAUCUGGGAUGUGUCCUCUGAGGCAGCAACUGCCCUUGACCUUAUUGUUACCUACCCUCUAGGCUCCUCUCCCAGCUUUUGCGUUUGGGUGGAGGAUGUGGCCAGCAGACACCGUGAUGCCUGCGUGUCUGGGCAAAACAGGGGAAGAGAGGAAAUACCAGCCGGCUCAGCCUGUGUGUGUAUGUGCACCCGUGGGUCAGCAUGUGCAUGUGUGUGUCUGUAUGUGUGUGUCUCUGUGUGUCUGUGUGUGUACCUUGUUUACUGUCCCUGCCACCUGUGGCUUCAGUG
rnacentral:lncRNA from 1 species